UCCAAGCCUGGUCGUCAGCAUUGGAUUUUGUUCUCCAAGUGUCCUCUAUAGUGUCAGCCGUAGUUGAAUAUUCAAAGAAAGAAAAAAGAGAAAAACCAUAUAAAUACAAUAACUAGUGAAAAGUAGCCAGGAAGUGAGACGGUGAUUAGUGAAACCUCUUCGAUACACCCUUUCGACGGGUCACCCGUUUGGGUCUUAAAUUGGAGGAGGCUCGUCUUCCACGACCGCCAGCUGAAAUUCGUAGAAAUUCGCCGGAGCUUUGGGUCGUCGCCUUGGAGCAGUUCGGCGAGCCAGAGAGGAGAGGCCAACUAGUGCCCGGCAGACGGCAGCCGCGUCGGCUUGUUCAUCGCUCCGCGUAUGCGUCCAUACCCCGUGCGCAUGGGAGGAGGCAAAGAAAAAAAAAGUGUUCUUCAGUGGCGACAAAUAGUGGCAGAUCGAGGGCCCAAAUCGGAAGCGCUUCGUCGAUGGAGGUUCCUGUAAGUCGUUCAAUUGAAUAAAUAAAAUAUGUAUAUGAAAGUUCGAAAAAUAUAUAAAAAUAUGAAAGUUCGCCACGGGAGCGCACCCAAUUAGUGGGUUGAAAAGAGAGGGCAUCAGAAAGUCACCUCUUGAUUCUUUUCCCUACGCCUCUCGUACAUUACACCUUCUCUUUUGGUGGAUCGCUAUGCCAGCAAUUGCUCACAUAAAAUUCUCUUGCAUUUCUUUUCUUUUCACUCCUAUUCAAAUCAUCUGUUCUCUCUCAUAUCUAGCCUAAGCUUCUUAUUUAUUUACAGUACUUUACGCAAAUUAUUUAAAAUUAAGUCGUAGCCAAUACUCGGGAAGGGCAAAUGAGAACAUUAAAUUACUGGGGAUCACUAAUUUUAGUCAUUAGAAAUAAAUAAACGUUUAUAAUGUCUGAGUAGAA